UUGAAAGGGAAACGAUUGAAGUCAGUCGUACCAGCGGGAAAUCAACCUUUCGAGUGGGGGUUUUGGAGUUUUGAAGAGUGUCAAAACCUUUGAGAUUUCAAAAUUUUCGCUCUUUUGGUGUACUUUCUCGUGGGUAGGUUAACAUCGAUUUUGAUCAUCAUAAAAAGAUUGGAGGAAUGUAGCUUCGAUCUUGUAUUGAAGUGUUAUAGCCUUUGGUAAAUGUGAUGAUUAGGAUCGAGGAUUGCAACGAAUACCCUUUUGGGCUAUCCGCCUGAUCUCUGAUACGUGGCCUUGGUAUCGAAAGCGUGCUUAUNGUNUUNAGGUAUUACGGUCAAAAGGUUAGAACGGAUCNCAUUCGUUAAGGAUGUUGACGUA
rnacentral:rRNA from 1 species